rnacentral:tRNA from 1 species
GUGGAUGUGGCCUAACGGUUAAGGCACCUGUCUGUGGAACAGGAAAUUGCCGGUUCGAAUCCGGUCAUCCACC